UACAGAGGUCCCAAGCGUUGUUCGGAUUCAUUAGGCGUAAAGGGUGCGUAGGCGGCGCGGUAAGUCGGGUGUGAAAUCUCGGGGCUUAACUCCGAAACUGCAUUCGAUACUGCCGUGCUUGAGGACUGGAGAGGAGACUGGAAUUUACGGUGUAGCGGUGAAAUGCGUAGAUAUCGUAAGGAAGACCAGUGGCGAAGGCGGGUCUCUGGACAGUUCCUGACGCUGAGGCACGAAGGCCAGGGGAGCAAACGGG
rnacentral:rRNA from 1 species